AAUGAACGCUGGCGGCAUGCCUUACACAUGCAAGUCGAACGGCAGCAUGACCUAGCUUGCUAGGUUGAUGGCGAGUGGCGAACGGGUGAGUAAUGCAUCGGAACGUGCCUUUUAGUGGGGGAUAACGUAGCGAAAGUUACGCUAAUACCGCAUAUUCUCUGAGGAGGAAAGCAGGGGACCUUCGGGCCUUGCGCUAGAAGAGCGGCCGAUGUCGGAUUAGCUAGUUGGUGAGGUAAAGGCUCACCAAGGCAACGAUCCGUAGCGGGUCUGAGAGGAUGAUCAGCCACACUGGGACUGAGACACGGCCCAGACUCCUACGGGAGGCAGCAGUGGGGAAUUUUGGACAAUGGGCGCAAGCCUGAUCCAGCCAUGCCGCGUGAGUGAAGAAGGCCUUCGGGUUGUAAAGCUCUUUCGGCUGGGAAGAAAUCGCACCCUCUAAUACAGGGUGGGGAUGACGGUACCAGCAUAAGAAGCACCGGCUAACUACGUG
rnacentral:rRNA from 1 species